GUGUCAGCAGCCGCGGUAAUACAGAGGGUGCGAGCGUUAAUCGGAUUUACUGGGCGUAAAGCGCGCGUAGGUGGUUAAUUAAGUCAAAUGUGAAAUCCCCGAGCUUAACUUGGGAAUUGCAUUCGAUACUGGUUAGCUAGAGUAUGGGAGAGGAUGGUAGAAUUCCAGGUGUAGCGGUGAAAUGCGUAGAGAUCUGGAGGAAUACCGAUGGCGAAGGCAGCCAUCUGGCCUAAUACUGACACUGAGGUGCGAAAGCAUGGGGAGCAAACAGGAUUAGAAACCCUUGUAGUCC
rnacentral:rRNA from 1 species